rnacentral:misc_RNA from 1 species
AACGCACAUUGCGCCCCUUGGUAUUCCAUGGGGCAUGCCUGUUCGAGCGUCAUUUGUACCUUCAAGCUUUGCUUGGUGAUGGGUGUUUGUCCUGCCCUCUGCGGCUGGACUCGCCUUAAAAUUAUUGGCAGCCGGCAUAUUGGCCUUUGGAGCGCAGCACAUUUUGCGAUCUAAGCCGUUAUACUGGUACCCAUAAAGCGUACUUUCUCACUUUUGACCUCGGAUCAGGUAGGGAUACCCGCUGAACUUAA